rnacentral:lncRNA from 1 species
GGAAAAGUGAAUCUAGUAUCAAAUUCCAGUCCCAAGGAGUAUUUCACAUUCUGUAAACGCAGAAAAAAUUAGGAAAAAGGAACAUCUCACCUUCAUGAGUGGACAAGUGGAAUCUUCAACAGUCAUACUGGAUAGCAAAAAUAUCCUGCUGCACAUAGUUUUCUUGGGUGCAGCUUAUGAAUUUAUGGUCUUAUUCAGCAGUAUCCAGCUCUACGUGUUAAAAAUAAAUUUUCAGAUUACUGUUUCUGUUUGCCAGUCUGGUCUGUUGCAUGCCUCACCUGGAAGGCCCAGCCCAUUCCAAAUAUAUAUUUAAAGCUGAACAAAGUGGUGAUUUUCUGUCUACCUUGAUGAACCAGUUCAGCAUUAAAAGCCUGAUUCCUCCAAAGACCAAGCGAUACCUACAUCUAGAACAGGCAAAGCUGUGCAGAAAGAAAACAGACUGGCCAAUUGCAGAACUUCAUUGUGUGUGCCCAGUCUCCAGAGAAAAUGCACAGGAAGACUUCAGUUCUUCAGCAAGUCAUCCAAAAGACUCAGCAUGGCCACCAGGAAGCUGCCAAAUGCCUGAAGUGUGGGGAAUGUGGAUGACAACGUGCUCCUGGAGCAUUUUGAACAAGCAUCUAGGAUUGCAGAAGAGGAAGAAUAUCCCCAUUUUUCCUUCAAAUGACUACCUGUUUUUACCACCAUCACCAAGUUUGCAUAAUAUUUUCUGA